rnacentral:rRNA from 1 species
AGUAAUGCAUAGGAAUCUGCCCAGUAGUGGGGGAUAACGUGGAGAAAUCCACGCUAAUACCGCAUAUGUCCUACGGGACAAAGCAGGGGACCUUCGGGCCUUGCGCUAUUGGAUGAGCCUAUGUCGGAUUAGCUAGUUGGUAGGGUAAAAGCCUACCAAGGCGACGAUCCGUAGCUGGUCUGAGAGGAUGAUCAGCCACACUGGGACUGAGACACGGCCCAG